UACGGAGGGGGCUAGCGUUGUUCGGAAUCACUGGGCGUAAAGCGCACGUAGGCGGAUCUUUAAGUCAGGGGUGAAAUCCCGAGGCUCAACCUCGGAACUGCCUUUGAUACUGGGGAUCUCGAGUCCGGGAGAGGUGAGUGGAACUGCGAGUGUAGAGGUGAAAUUCGUAGAUAUUCGCAAGAACACCAGUGGCGAAGGCGGCUCACUGGCCCG
rnacentral:rRNA from 1 species